rnacentral:rRNA from 1 species
UUUGCCCUACGGGGCGCAGCAGUGGGGAAUAUUGGGCAAUGGGGGAAACCCUGACCCAGCAACGCCGCGUGAGGGAAGAAGGUUUUCGGAUCGUAAACCUCUGUCCUUGGUGAAGAGAAGAAGACGGUAGCCAAGGAGGAAGCCCCGGCUAACUACGUGCCAGCAGCCGCGGUAAUACGUAGGGGGCAAGCGUUGUCCGGAAUGAUUGGGCGUAAAGGGCGCGUAGGCGGCUCGGUAAGUCUGGAGUGAAAGUCCUGCUUUUAAGGUGGGAAUUGCUUUGGAUACUGUCGGGCUUGAGUGCAGGA